ensembl:lncRNA
AGAAAUCUGUAGACAUCAUCGAUCCGUGAUUAUAUUCAGGGUGGAAAAAAAUGACGCGUUUCCGAGUCUGACCGCGCGUUGCUCAGCACCACCUGCUUCUCCACCUCGCACCGUGUACUGCUCCACCUCGCACCGCGCGCUCCUCCACCUCGCCAUCAAACAGUGCAGCGGACCUCGUAGUCCAUCCUGCCCCUGUGGCUCACUGAACAAGGUAACGUGGAUAUUAUCACUGUCAACAUUACUGUGUUCAGUCACUUUACAUACAACACCUAAUAUGCCUUCUCUUUUACUACAUUUUUGUGCUUCCUUGGGCUGAACCCAGAAAGAGGGACAAAGGACAACCAGGGGACGGUGGUGUCUACAAGGACAGGGAAACUGGUCCAGAAGGAGGCAACUGUCAAUCCCCAUGUGGCCACCCUGAUAAAAAACCUCUUGGACUUUGAGUGGGGCUUCAUGUGGCAUAUUUCCACACAGGACACUGGACAUUGGAAAAAAGAACACCAAGAUGGAGUGUGUUACCUCUCCUUCCUCCCUAGUGCCUGACCCUCUCGGUGCUAUCGCUCCCUCGGUUCCAUCCGAGUCGACACUGCGUGCCGGCAGGAAACCCAGCCAAGUAGGCUUCCUGAGCGAGCGGGAGAGGAAGUACAGUAAUAAGGGAUAAAGGAAGGGGGUGUGGGGUUUAAAAAUAACCCGCCUAUAUAAGCUGAGGCAGGAGCCCACUCUGACUCUCUCUCUGCUGCGGACAGAGGCCUCCGCGUUCUCUCUCGCACUCGAAAAGAUCAUCACAGCUUUCCUGCCGUGCGGAGGAAAGUGGAGAAGCCAAAGCAGGUGUUACCAAGAAGUUUAACAAAGACAUAAACUAUGUGCGCCGAGGAGAGACGCUUUAUCCGCAGAACAGGCUGCAACAACUUUGAGUAAGGGGAAAAACUCCUCCGUCCUCGGUAUCACUGCCUUCAGCAUGUUUCCAACCCCUCCACGGGACCGGCUUCGCUCUCCACAUGAAGAACAUCUGUGAAUAUGACAACGCGCCGUUGGCUCUUGGUGACUAGCGGACCAUCUUGCUGAAACAGCUGAUCGAUGCAGACACACGCGGCAUCCUCUCCGUGUUAACAACAUCUGCUCUAUCAGACCCGAGAAACCCUAGAAAAUUAUAUGGAGAGCAAAAAAACCUGACUUUCAACACGUUGUCAAAAAGCUGUGGUAAUUUCACUUGUUCCUGGAAAGCAUCCUAAUGUGAGACUCGACGGAGACGGAAGGCCCCGAGCCAUCUGGCGAACCCAGUUUUCAGAUCUCUGUAUUUUAAAAAUAUUCAUGAGAACUAGAACAACGCAACACACGCUUACAUCUGCUUAAUGUGUCCUGCCACCACACAGUGUGUGUCACAGCAUUUACCCGUCCCUUCGCUGCAGGGUACAGCAUGUCCCGUAACACCUGUUGAAAUUACAUAGCUAUUAGCACAAACCAUUUAGCAUGUUGGCAGAAUAUAUGUAGGCUAGCAAGAUUGACAUCAUGGAGUAUGUACUGUACUUGCUUACCGGUACUAUAUUAUAAUGGCUCUGGACUGGAUUAGAGAUGAAAUAAAAAAGGCCCUCAGCUUGUGAACCUCUCAUGUGUAAAGUUCCAAAUCACAUACAUUUGAGAAAUUCAACAGCAAUGUCUCUUAUCAGAAAGUGUGACCUGGGUACUCGGGAUAAUAAAC